GCCAUCGGUGUUACUUCUCCUUUCCUCGUUGAUGGCGGCGGCCCGCUUCCGUCACUCGCGAUCUUCGUCGUAACAGAGCCGCGCUGCCACAGCUCCAACCGAAAUCGCCGACGCAGCAGCGGCGUUGGUUCGGACAUCGCCCUCUGACUUCUCCCACCCCUCACCUAUCGUCGCUAGACCCCCAGAUUUUGGCAGCGGUCCAACCCUUUCUUCCUUUCCUCUAUCUCUAUCUCCGUCGACCUAGAAUUUUUUUCUACUUAGUUACUUCACCUCCUCCAUCUCCAUCGACGUAGGAAUUUUUUUCGCUGCCCUGGGUGGAAUUGCAGGUCGCCAGCUGCAUCAUUCGUCCAAUUUCUUGUCGCUGCCGCACCUCUUCCCGCCGCUCGUCAGGACCAAUGGGAAUAGGGCGUGAGGAGGUUGGAGGCGCAACAGGUGCCCUCCAAGCAAGCGGAGGCUUUCACGUCAGUCAUCACGGUAGUUUGGAGAAUGUUGCCCGGUCCUAGUCUCGAAGCCGAAGAUGCAGAAGAGCUGCGAGGUGUUGACGAGGUACGCCUUAGUCGCGUUGGUCUUGAGAGCUAUGAAGAGAGGUGCCAUAGAGGUGAGAAAUUGGACGAAGUGUCACGAACGGUCGUCGCGCACCUGUAACAACUCUGUUCAA